AAAAGCCGUAUUCGAUGAAAGUCGUAUGUACGGCUUGGAGGGAGAUCUUUCGAGAUCCACCCUAC
rnacentral:ncRNA from 1 species